rnacentral:rRNA from 1 species
UACGGAGGGUGCAAGCGUUAUCCGGAUUCACUGGGGUUAAAGGGUGCGUAGGAGGGCAGGUAAGUCAGUGGUGAAAUCUCCGAGCUUAACUCGGAAACUGCCGUUGAUACUAUCUGUCUUGAAUACCGUGGAGGUGAGCGGAAUAUGUCAUGUAGCGGUGAAAUGCUUAGAUAUGACAUAGAACACCAAUUGCGAAGGCAGCUCACUACACGAGCAUUGACUCUGAGGCACGAAAGCGUGGGGAUCAAACAGG